UAGGCUUUUUUUGGCAAUAGGAAUCAGUCGCCGUAACCCUUUGGUAUCCAUCCCAUCCGAUCAAACUUUCUGUAACUACAUCUACCCACUUCUUUCGUGACUUUCCAUUCAUGGCAGCCCUCCUCUCUUUCACUCGGUGAAUCUGCAUCCAGGAAAUUCAUCAUUUCAUUCCUCACAAUUAUCAUGUCGUGUUAAGGUGGAAGCAGGAGCUGAAGAUCCCGUGAACCAAAAACCACAGCUCCUUCUCUCAAUAAGACUUGGAUGGAUCUGAAACUGGAGCAGUUAAAGAUUACUACGAAUGUGAGAAUGUUGGGGAUGAGGAUACAGGAAGGUUACGGAGGGAGGGAUCAUGUCAUACAUUAAAACACACACAGGUUCAUCAUGUUUUAAAUUUGUUUCUUUUCAAACCCUGUGUUGAAUUCUAAGUGUUGUAUUAGCUUUCAUGGUCACAGAGAUUCAAAUAUAAAUUACUUUUGUCGUCACUCGGAAACUGCUAUAUGAUCUAUUGUCUGAAGAUAAUUUGAAUCAUGAUAAUAAACA